GUGCUCACUUUGGCAGCACAUACACUAAAACUGUAACAAUACAGAGAAGAUUAGCAUGGGCCCUGUGUAAGGAUAACAAGCAAAUCUGUGAAGUGUUCCAUAUUUUU